ACAGUAUUACUGCAGGUGUACUACAGUAUUACUACAGUAUUACUACAGGUGUACUACAGUAUUACUACAGGUGUACUACAGUAUUACUACAGUAUUACUACAGGUGUACUACAGUAUUACUACAGGUGUACUACAGUAUUACUACAGUAUUACUACAGGUGUACUACAGUAUUACUAC